UGGAACAGAAGAAAAUGUUAAAAAGCGG
rnacentral:piRNA from 1 species